GGAUGUUAACGGUUAAUCGACUAUCGAUUAAUUGUCGAAAAGAAUUUACUCGAUUAAAUUAAAUUAAUUGUGACUAAUUGAACAUUGUAAUCUAUGACCGUUUCCCACAGGACGUUCUUGAACGUGACCCGAGAUUCUCGCGAGCCGCUAGAGCUAGACACAAACUUGAGGCGGUAAAAAAACUAAAACAAACAAUGAUGAGGCGGUCAAAACGGAGUGGAGUGUGGGAGCAUUUUAGAUUAAUUAACGAUGAAAAAGACGCACAAUGCAAACUUUGCGGUGCUACAUUUAAAUACAACAGCUCUACAAGUUCGUUAAGAUACCACCUGAACAACUUGCAUGUAACGUUAGCCAUUCCGUCGCCUUCACAACCUACAAUUGCUGCUGUGCUGGGAAGGCGAGUAUGCGACCAAAGAAAAGCAGACGGCAUUACUCAGAGAAUUUGCGGGAUGAUUGAAAGAGAUAUAAUGCCAAUUAGCACCACCGAGGCCGAGGGAUUUCGGGAGCUGAUACAAUUCAUGGAGCCAGGAUAUAACAUCCCUUCGCGAGCGACUGUGACUUCCAACUUGGAGGCACGCUACGAAAUUAAGAAGGCUAAGCUAAAAACAUGUUUGUCCGCGGCUAAUGUGGCUCUGACGACGGAUUGUUGGACAGCACUGACUACAGAAAGCUACAUCACGAUUACUUGCCACUAUAUUGAAAACGACUGGCAGGUAAAGUCGGCAGUCCUUCUUACGGAGAGCUUAUCCGAGAGACAUACAGCUGAUAAUUUAGCUGCCAAACUGAACCAGGCUGUGGAGUCAUGGGGACUCACCGGCCGUGUAGUAGCCUGUGUGCACGACAACGCUCGGAACAUUGUUUCAGCAAACAACCCCGCACGAGUCAGUUGGAAGUCAGUGUGUUGCUUUGCUCAUACUUUAAAUCUGGCCGUCAAUGACGGAUUCGCUGCUGCUGGUGUCAACCGAGUAAUUGGAGCUGCUGGCAGGCUGGUCAAGCACUUCAAUCACAGCACACCAGCAACGAAAGCGCUAGAAGCAAAACAAAGACAAAUGCAGCUACCAGCUCAUCGGCUCAUUCAGUCCUGUAAGACCAGGUGGAACUCUGUACAUGCGAUGUUUGGCAGACUCGUAGAACAGCGAUGGGCCGUGUGUGCUGUGCUAUCAGACCGCUCAGAGACCAAGCUUUCAGAUGCGAGGACGCUGGAGUUGAGAGACGACUUCUGGCAGCUUAUGGAGGACAUAGCGCCAGCACUAGAGGCUCUCCAAUGUGCUACUACUGUAAUGUCAGCAGAGGCGGAGGUAUCCAUAUCCAACACGUACCCCAUCACAUUUAGUCUGAUUAACACGCAUCUCAAGAUGGCAAAUGGAGACAGCAACAGAGUGGCGGAAUUCAAAUCUAAAGUGCGCACUUCGUUGGGGGAACGGAUGAAGGUUGAGUCUGAAGACCUCACAUCAACAACACCAAUGAUAGCAACGAUGCUGGACCCACGGCAUAAGCACCUGGGAUUUCUAAGCCCAGCAAGCAGGAUCUCAGCUAAUACCAAACUGCUUGAACUGGCUAUGGAAGAACAUGUGGACUCCACAUCAACAAAUGAAGCCACCACUGGAGAUGAUGUGCCAGUCCAGGGAGCUACACUUCAGAGACACACUUCUGCUAUGACUCUUCUACUGGGUGAAAACUAUACCACCAGCAGCAACGAUGACAUUAAAGAGGAAGUGGACAUGUUUCUGAAGGAUGCCUCACCACUCCUUGAUUCCAGUCCCACAGAAUGGUGGAAAGUCAAUGAAGGAAGAUUUCCGAGGCUGGCAAAUGUGGCACGACGAUAUCUGUGCAUACCGGGCACGUCUGUCCCAUCAGAACGUGUAUUCUCAGCAGCUGGCCUGACUGUAAACAGGCUGCGCACACGACUUACUCCUGACCACGUUAAUAUGCUUAUUUUCUUGAACAAAAAUAGAGGGGUCUAGGUCAGGAGCCUAUUCAAAACACAUUGAGACAGGAAUGUUUUUGUUUCAGGAGAGGUAGCCUAUAUCUUCAUUUGACUGUUCUAAGGGUCGCCCUCUAAUGUUACUGUCACCUUCCUCAGGGAUGAUUUAAGUUGUGUUCAGAAUAUAUUUGAAGUUUCCAGGGCUAGUUAUCUUACUGUUACCUUUCUCAGACCAAAGGGGAUUAUAAAUGCUGCUAAUGUUUCAAGUUUUACAUAUGUAGUUAACCAGAUUAUAAUGUGUAGGCUUAAUAUUGUGUAGGCUAGGCCUACCCAUAUUGUUUAGAUUUCUAUUUAAAAUUAAUUUUAUUUUGCUUAAUGUUUCACAUGCGACAGGUGAGCCAGUGCACAAUUAUUUUGUUAUGUAUUUUAAUUUUCUGUGCUUAAUGUAUUUUGUUAAACUACAUAAAUGCCAUUAUCUGCACAUUAUCCUAACUGGUACAAUAAAACAUCAAUUGUGCAAUAUA